GUAACCAGUGUAGUUCUCGUAGUAUUGGAGUGAUAUGGUUGUAACGAGAGGUCCUGGAUAUGAGACGUGCGGCAGUGUUCUGAAUAUGCGCACUUGUGGACAUUUUCUUCCAAUGCCAACUGAAGACAAUAUAUCUGUUGUCAGGAAAUUCAACAAGUAAUGACAAUGAGAAGGAAUCAGGGGAAGCCUUAUAACGCAGCACAAUGAAUUUCAUCCAGUGUGCCUUCGCCCCUCUGUAUUGCGAACAACAUAUGAUGUCUAUAGACAGCAUCAUGAGUUUCCAAAAACAAAUGGAUGCAAGGUGAAGACAACGAACAGCGAUCAAUUUCAUAACUCCUACAAGCAAUACAAAAUAGAUAGUUGGGCAAACACGGACCCCUGGACACACCAGAGGUGGGGUCAGGUGCCUAGGAGGAGUAAGCAUCCCCUGUUGACCGGUCACCCCCGCCUUGAGCCCCAUAUCCUGAUCAGAAAGGUUCAUCAUGCCAUCGAAUGUGAAGCAAAAGAUGCCUUCUUUGUUCGUGUAAAUAUAAAU